UGUGAUUGUACGCGCAUGUGUACUUAACUCUCCCUGCAGGGUUACCCAGUGGAAAUCUUCAGUGAAUCUGAGGAGGAUCAUUGGUUUGGACUGGCGUUGGGUUCGCCAGGACACACCAGCCCUGCUGACAGACAGACAACACGCGGACAGACAACACGCUACACGUUAACAGGACACGGCGCACACAAGCCACAGGCGAGAAACCUGAGACAGCGUGACACACUGAUCCUUGGUCAGUGACCUUAAGACAGAGACUGACCUGCGGAGACACAGACAGGCUCUGAAAACUGACCUCAGACCAGCCCAAGGUGACAGGAAUGAUAUCACACAGCAAAGACAAAAUUCUAUUAUGUCAGAGAGAGGAAGAGGUAGAGAAAAAGGAAGAGGAAGAAGAGGAGGAAGACGAUGAAGAGAAAGAGGAGGAAGAGGAGGUGUGUCCUGUGUGUUUCAGUGAGUUUGACAGUUGUCUCCACCCUCCCUCCAUACUACCAUGCGGUCACACCUUCUGCUGGCCCUGCCUGCUGCACCCUAGCCUGGCUACAUCAGGACGGAUACACUGCCCUCUCUGCCGAAAACCAGUCUGGGACACACACAUUCAUGGCAGGAACAUACACGCGCACCGCAGAGACACACAAAUCCCCCACACAAAUACACAUCUCUCCAGCAGGAACACACACAUCUCCCAUAGGAAUCCACUCACACAACGGGUGGCACAAACAACCAUCUCAUCUCUUAGAAGCUCUCACCCUCGCUCACAUACAAACCUCCACUCACACACACCGCAUAGACCCCAGUCACUCACACACACACAACAGAGGAGUGUGGUUAGUGAUCACCCAGUAUUGCUGUUCCCCUCCCAUCCUGUAGGUGUCAGUGUAGUAUCAGAGGGCUGGCUAGAAGGGCGCUGUACUCUGUGUUGUCAGCCUCUCUCUGAUGAGUCAUCAUAUCCUCUAGACUGUAGACACUUCCUGUGUCCACACUGUCUCGGCCUCCUAUUGGCUGUGGCUUCCCCAGUUGGACAGGUCUAUUUCCUCUAUUGUCCCCAAUGCCAGGGACAGACUGCAGUACUCAGAGGAGAGACAAACACAGCCUCACCCCUCUCUUCACCCAUUUCUUAUUAUUUUUCUUCCUUUCCCUCAUCUCCUUCCUCACCCAUCUCUCCCUCCUCUCCCCCUCCCCCCUCUCCCCAGGUCCUAGCCCCCUCUAGGGGAGAGAGUUCCAGCCAGGGUAGCCAGGGCAGAGAUUGUGGUUGUGGGGGAGGGACUCUCUGUAUGCUGCUGUAGAGGGCCUCCAGUCAACCAAAGCCUGGGGCUGGAGUAGGGAGGGAGGCCAAGUGAGACGGCAUGAUGUUGGGUCUGAGUCAGAUGGUGAAUGGCCUGUCUGUCAGGGGGAUGUCACUGCUCUGCUCAGGGCAACUCUCUCUCUCUCUCUACAGUAUUACUGACCCUCAUGCCUGACCUUUCAUAUGAGACACAUGAGACUGUGACUCCACACGCACGCACUUAACACACACACACACACACACACACACACACAUACACGCAUAGAAUAUCUACACGCAUACACCUUCACACACAUGGAGCCUUAUGUUAUGCUGUAUGUUUAGUGUAUGUAUGUCAUUGCUCAUCUGGUUGUCCAUAAAUAUAUAUAGAAAAUGUCUUCAGGCAGAGAUGUUCUUUACUCAUCUGAUCUCUGGUCUGGUUCAUCUGUUUGCUUACAACCUCAACCUUAGAGCAAACAAAACAACAAUGGUGCCUGUGUGUGUGUGUGUGUGUGUGUGUGUGUGUGUGUGUGUGUGUGUGUGUGUGUGUGUGUGUGUGUGUGUGUGUGUGUGUGUGUGUGUGUGUGUGUGUGUGUGUGUGUGUGUGUGUGUGUGUGUCUAUGUGAAUGGGAGUAAUUUUUACUCCUACCUUCAGGAUGCAGGUGUGUUAGCGAGAGUGUGUGUGAUAGAAAGGGGUUUAGUAUGUGUGUGUUGAUGUGUUUGUUAGUAAAGCCAAGUUAGCAUUGCCAAUAUGCAAGCCUGUUGUGUGUGUGUGUGUGUGUGUGUGUGUGUGUGUGUGUGUGUGUGUGUGUGUGUGUGUGUGUGUGUGUGUGUGUGUGUGUGUGUGUGUGUGUGUGUGUGUGUGUGUAGGGCUGGGGGGCUGGCGUUAUGUGAGCACAUUAACUCCACCAAACUGAACAGGGAGCACUAGAUUAGCACGCUCUAAUGACACGUGGAACACACACAAACACACUCGUCUGGGCUAAGCUCCAGUGUGGCUCAGUUAGUAGAGCAUGGCGCUUGCAACGCCAGGGUUGCUGGUUUGCUUCCCAAGGGAGGUCAGUACAAAAAAAUAUUAAAAAUGUAAGUCGCUCUGGAUAAGACUGCCUGCUAAAUGACUCGAAUGUGAAAUGUCUAAGGGACUGCCCUCCACAUUAUUAUUAAUAUUUUUUACAUAAAAUGUAAGUAUAGCUGAAUUACAGUAAAAUGUCCAAAGUUUUGAUUCUAUGUCUUCUAUAGGGGCCUGCUCUGUGUAUUGCUCUUCAGGUGUGAAUCAUUAAUAAACCUUUUGGCAAUGCCAUAGGGGAACCAUUUUAGAAAUGUUUCUAACCUCCAGGACUGUAACUGAAUAGCCCCGCUGUAGGGUUUUAUUAAGCCGUAUUUGCAUAUUUACCAGGGUGCCUUUCAAGUGAAUUUGAAGCUGGUUAAAGCUGGUUGAGAGAAGGUCAAGAGUGUGCAAAGCUGUCAUCAAAGCAAAGGGUGGCUACUUUGAAGAAUCUCAAAUAUGAAAUAUAUUUUGAUUUGUUUAACACUUGUUUGGUUAUACUACAUGAUUCCAUAUGUGUUAUUUCAUAGUUUGAUUUCUUCACUAUUAUUCUACAAUGUAGAACAUAGCAAAAAUUAAGAAAAACCCUGCAAUGAGUAGGUUUGUUCAAACUUUUGACUGGUACUGUAGAUACAAACAAUUCUAAAAAUCAACCUGCAAUAGAGCAUGCUGGGAAAUAUGAUAUUGAUGAUUGUGGUUUUGGUUCAACUCUGGUUAUUAACACCAACACUGGGGUUAUUUUACACCACUGAGGGCUAAUUGAACUCUUUACAGUGUUAAUUUAACUCUUGUAUCAACACUAGAAAUGUUCAACUGAAAAAUCAACACUAGUUAACACUGGUCAAUUUGCUGUGUGCGAUGAAAGGGACACAUCUGCAGGCUUCCAUACAUUUCAAAAUCAUUUUAGAAUUCUGAAGAACCUCAGAUGCCACAUCAAGAACCCCACACUUAACUCAAAAGUUAUUUAUCAGGCAAGAGUUCUCCAAUGAACCUUAAGAGCUGAGGAAGAACCUUCAUUUUCUUCCAGUGUAUACACAGAAAAAAGUGCUUUUUAGAACCUAAUAGGUUUCUUCAGCUGUCCCCAUAGGAGAGCCCUUUGAAGAAUCUGUUUUGGUUCCAGGCAGAACCUUUUUGGUUCCACGUAGAACCCUUUUUGGUUCCAUAUACAGUGCUUUCAGAAAGUAUUCACACCCUUGACUUUUCCCACAUUUUGUUGUGUUACAGCCUGAGUUUUAAUUGAUUAAAUUCAGAUGUUUUUGUCACUGGCCUACACACAAUCCUCCAUAAUGUCAAAGUGGAAUUAUGUUUUUCAACAUUUUAAAAUGUAAUAAAAA
rnacentral:lncRNA from 1 species